CCGUAGCUCAGUUGGAUAGAGCAUGGGAUUUCUAAUCCCAGGGUCACAGGUUCGAGUCCUGUCGG
rnacentral:tRNA from 1 species